CUGUUCACUCGUUGCACAGCCAGCUGCUCAUAGACAUCAAUGUUAUUUCUGCAGCUUGAAAGACAGCGACUUUUGAUAAAACUGGCCUUGUAGCACAUUGUCUAGCUUACAACGAUGGGAAAGAGGCAUUGUUUAUGAUUUUACAACGUAUAUCUCAUGAGUUAUUGAUGCCGGAAGUCCGAAUCUGUGAAUAUCUUGCCAACUUUACCUAACUCAAGUGUGGAGCCAAACGACAACAAGAUUCUCAGAGGGCGGAGCCAGAGAGCAGUGAUUGGUCAGACCAUAGACGUAUAGAAGACAACGCGCUAGCGGAUGUAGUCUGCUAUAUAUGUCUAUGGUCGGAACGUCUGGUAGCAUCUCUGGCUGCUGUUGACCUUGUUUUUGGAGUAAAACAUGGUGGAAGCUGAAUUAGUGAGGAUGACUCCUGCUCCUGUCAUCUCUAAGCUCCUCACACAUCUUUUACCUGCACAUGAGGAAAAUCACUCCUGUAGAAUGCAGUGUUUCAUCAGAACCUCUGGGGAUGUCCUGUGGAUUCUGUGGAUCCUGUGGGUUGCAGGGUGGGUCCUACCUAGACCAGGCUGAUCCUGGACCAUCCCACAGAUGCUCCAUCAGAUCUGGAUGUGAGGAGUGUGGAACCCAGAUGUUCAGAGGGAGAUGAUGCCACAUCUGGUCCAGCUGAUGGAAGGUCUUGAAGUUCUCUGACUGGCCUCGACUGAAGAUGGUCGUCUCACUGGAUUUAAGGUUCAGAUGCUCAGUAACAAACUCCACCAAUGAGCCAACAGGGAAGCUUUAGGUUUAUUAAAUGUUGCUAUGAAGGUAUCACUGUUUUUCUUUGUGAAUGCAAUGUGCUCCAACUGAAACUUGAAUUAGAACUUAGAAGUAAAUCCUUCCAGAUGAAAACUGUGAUGGUGUUGGAUUGUCAGACCGUAAUGUUGCAGCUCAGAGCAGCUUUUCUAGCUCAGUUCAUUCUGACAUUCAGCUAUGAAUCAACACAGCAGAUGGUGAUCCAUGCUGUGGAAGUCUCACAUCUCCUGAUUUAAUGGAGCUGCUUUGCACUUUUUACACUGUUUAUUCACCAACACUUUAUUUAAUAAAAGUCCCAUCUAGUUUUUAUGAGGAAUGUGAUGUUUGAAUUUCUCUGUGAAUAACUGCAGUCUAAUGGAACAGCUGGAGUUACAACAUCUGUCCUGAUAUUGAUCAUGGAAUAUUGAUAAGAAUGAUCAGAUGAGUUUGUUUUUACUGCCAGCUACCUUUCAGUCUGAGAUAUUAAGAAUAAAUAAAUGUGCAUAAUGUGGAAAUGAACAGAUUCGAUUUUUAUUUAUUCCUACAGCUGCUGCAUUUAAAGUUCUAGAAUGUGGAGGAAUUUAGUCUCACAAUCACAGACAAUAAAUAUCAUCUGAAAGUCGAGUUAUUGUUGUUUAUCAGCACAAUACAAAAAGAUUAAUGUUAGAAAUAUUCCAUUUAAGACUCUAGAAUAUCAUGAUUUAUUUAAAUUUACCUCAAUAAUAUGAAUGUUCAGGUUAAGAUUGUGCAGUGAUAUUUAUUAUGUAAGUUUAGCUGAUUAAAGUUUAUGACUCUGCACUAAAAUAUUAUUUAAAUUGACAUCAUUAUUAUAAUAUUUAGGGUCAGACCCUACAGUAUUGAGAUUAAGAAAUCAAAUAUUCUUUAAAAUGUAAAUACACUGAAUUUGGAUAUAUUUAAAUGAGACUCUACAAUAUUAUUUGACACAAAUCUAUUGAAAUCAAAAUUUGAAUCAUUUUUACUCCAAACAUUUACUGGACUGAUUUAAAUAUUAAAAUCACUCCUUUCUAAUCCUCUGCUGUACGUUCAAACCUGAGGCCUUAAAUAGAAACACACAAGUAUCUGAUUGAAGGAACUUCUGCAGAGUCCUGGUUCCAGAACAUGAUGAUAGAAUUAUAGACAAACUUUAACAAAAGCUGCCUGAGAGUUUACAGGUUUUUAUGUUAGAUUUCUUCAGUAAUUUAAUGAGUUAUCAGCAAAAAUCAAGUAUUCAUUUGAUGAACUUCAUUUCCUAAAACAUCCAGAAUUGGAGCUCAUAUCUUUGGCAGCUGUAAAGUUUCUGCUCCUUCAAAGUUCACAACACAAUGAAUGAAUUCCUAAAACACUCUCAAUGCUGGAGAGCGUUUGAUGCUGAAGCAGUGAUCAGUUUUUCUGUUUCUUCUCUGGAGAUGCACAAUGAGGGACGUCUGCAGAGACUGAGAAAGAGUCUCACCACAUCCUGACAUGAGGAAAAAGACUUUAUUGAAGACUACAAUGAGAAAAACUAUCAGACAGCAGACGGCUGCAUUCAAGUCUGUAGCUGCUGAAUUCAUGGAUGAAUCAUCUGGCACUAGAGAGGAAGACCAUCAAACAUCCACGUCAGCUGAUGGAGGUCCAAGAGUCUCACCCAACAAACAACCUACAGAGUGACCUAGAGCUGUUAGAUUGUUCCAGAUAAGACAAGUACAAGAUUCUUCAGAGCCGUUCUACCAUGAGCCUGACAGGAAGAACUCCUCCAGCUACUGAAUGUUCCUGUGGUCCCCUCAAGGCUACAGGAGGAGUCCUACAAGGACGAGCUGGUCCACCUGAUGGCGGCCAGUCGCUGCGGUUCAAAGCCAACACCGACUACGUGGACUUCUACUGGACCACACGGAGGCCUUCAAACCGGACCAACAAGUUCAGCGACUCCCCGACUCGUGGGUCUGAGGACGCCGCCGAGCCUCGGCCCAGCCGGCCUCCUGUCUGUGGGUGUUUGAGUGCUGAGAGGUUUGUGGAUGCAUGUGAAAGUUCUGUGUUGAAACAGCAGCUUUGGACUCAGUAACGCCAGGAAAAGCCAAGAGCUCCUUUAUUUGUGACUUCCACUAAAAAAACUGAUGAAAAUAAGUUUGCCAGGGUUCUGACUGAUAACAGAUUAUUAAAUAAUGAAAAUAAUAGUUUAAAUACUCCUUUAAACAAUCCUUUUCGGUCUACAUUUCCUUGACACUGACUUCAUGGUAUAUGUACAAGUAUUUUGGGUGGAAUAUACCAAUAAGCCCAAUGUUCAAGGGUUCUUCUGGGAAUAUACCAUUAAACCAGCCUUUUAGGUAAAUGUUCCAAGAUGUUGGGUAGAAUAUACCAUCAGAUAAACCUUUUAGGUCUACAUUGGAAGAUUUUAGAGUAGAAUAUUACUCCAAACCAUCCUUUAUGUCUACAUUUAAGGUGGAAUACUCCUUUACACCAUGAUUUUUUGGUCUACAUUGAAGGAUUUUAGGUGGAAUAUUCCUUUGAACGAACUUUCUAAGUUUCUGUUCAAGGAUGUUGGGUGGAAUAUACCAUCAGACCAACCUCCAAGGUCUACAGUAGUGAAUUUUAGGUAGAAUAUACCAUUAAACUCACCUUUUAGGUCUACAUUGGAGGAUUUUAGGUGGAAUUUCUUUUAAACCGUCUUUUAGUCUACAUUUAAGGAUGUUUAGGAUGGUAUAUUCUUCCAAACCAACUUCUCAGGUCUACAUUUCAGGUGGAAUAUUCCUCCAUACUAACUUUUUUGGUCUACAUUGAAGGAUUUUUUCUAAACCACCCUUUCGGGUCUAUAUUUGAGGUUUUAGGUGGAAUAUUCCUUUUAACCAGCCCCUCAGCUCUCUGAGGAUUUUGGAUGAAAUACUCAGUUAAACCAACAUUUUAGGUGCAUGUCCAAGGAUUUUUGGUGGAAUGUUCCUUUAAUGUGGAUGUUUGAGGACCUUGUCGGUGGAAUACUUCCUGAAACCAAACUUUUAGGUCAACAUCCAAAGAUUUAAGGUGGAAUAUUCCUUUAAACCAACCUAAAUUUCAUGUUUUAAUCAUUAUCAAGCGAGAAACCUCAAUCCAGACUCCUCAUAAUGAUGUUUGAGAUUUAUGCUGCUGUUAUUUGUUUAGUCCAGUCUAAAUGACAGAAAUCUACAACUGUAAUUUUAUUUCAGGACUCAGUUAUUAAAUGUCAAAACAAUCCAUGUGACUCUAAAAACUCAACAGCUUUACAAACUCUAAGAUUAAACUCUCCACAAGGAUCCAAAAUAAGUUGGACUUCUACAUGAGAGCUUUAAUUAUUCUUCAUCUACUUCCUGAAAAGUUUGGUCAAUAAAAAAGACAAAAACCAAUAUUUUCAGCUGAACUAAAGACAGAUUUUGUGAUUUUUCUGCUCACAUGUUGUGUUGUUGUAAACUUCCUCUUUCAAAUAAAUAUCCUCCU
ensembl:lncRNA